AUCUAGCUCAGCAGGCAUAAGCACCUGCCUUGCAAGCAGGCAGUCUGGGUUCAAUCCCCGGUACUGAUA
rnacentral:tRNA from 1 species